UUUUUUUUUUUUUUUUUUUUUGUUGAAAUAAUGGUCCAUCACAAAUAGUUGGACACAACUUUGUUCUUCAAUAAACACAAGUCCACAAUGCCCGAGUUAUCAAUCACAUGUUUCUACUGAUGUUAAUCCUUGAACCAAUCUAUUGAAGACAAACAAGAAUUCCAUCUUCAAUCUACUUGUGGUGAGACACUGCAAAAAUGACAGCAAAUGCUCCAAAAGAAUACAAGUCCAGAUGUUUUCCAAAAACUCUUAUUUGAUAU
rnacentral:misc_RNA from 1 species